GGGAUUGUGGCUCAGGGGUAGAGCGCUUGCCUAGCAUGUGUGAGGCCCUGGGUUCAAUUCUCAGCACCA
rnacentral:tRNA from 1 species